ACUGGUGGUCCUCGGCUGUGUCCGUUGAUGGGAGUUCAUGACAUAAUGGCAUUUCAAGGAAAAUGAAAUGAGUAAAGAGUACAAAAAAUUGAAAUCUUCGAAAUAGAAGAAAAAAAAUUACUCAACAAUGUUCUAAACAACAACGAACCCAACAUAGAAAAUUACUCCAGAUAGCAUUAAAAAGGGUUCUUCAUGAACAAAAUGGAGUUGAAAUGCAUUACAAAUUCAUUACAGAAAAAAGGGUUAUUGAGGCUCGAAAGCUACAACAGGAACAAAAUCAAAAAUAAAACUGAUUUGGGACACCAUUAUAUUCCCUUUAACACAUCAAAAUCGUAAAUUAGAGAUACAAAAAUCAAAAAAUCGUGGGUGUUUUCGUGUUUUCAGACCUUUAACCGUGGAACCCAAAUUUGUAGCCCUUCAUUUUUCGUGGUUUAGAGAACAAAAUGAAAAUAAAAAACCAGUACAGUGACUGCUUCUUACCGGAAAAAUCGACGGCAAUUAUGCUCCUCGGUUGUGCAGACGACCGUCGGGGGUGGCGCCAGAAACUUCUCUACUGUCCGCGUUGUGAAGGAAAUGAGAAGUGUCGCCUUUUUUUUUUCUCAUAUCAGAUGGAAACGAAGGGAGGGGUGCUAGGGCUAAAUUGCUUGCAUCGAUUCAAGCGAAGGGCAUGAAAAAAGUUGCCCAAAAUCUGGAUAGAUUAAUUGUCGGA
rnacentral:lncRNA from 1 species